UACGGAGGGUGCAAGCGCUGCUCGGAAUUACUGGGCGUAAAGAGCACGUAGGCGGUUUGGUAAGUCCGAUGUGAAAGCCCACGACUCAAUCGUGGAAGUGCAUUGGAUACUGCUAGACUUGAGUACAGGAGGGGUGAGCGGAAUUCCAGGAGUAGAGGUGAAAUUCGUAGAUAUCUGGAGGAACAACUGUGGCGAAGGCGGCUCACUGGACUGUAACUGACGCUGAGGUGCGAAAGUGUGGGGAGGAAACAGG
rnacentral:rRNA from 1 species